GAGAAGGUCACUCAUCUCUUGUAAGGGAUCUGAAUCUCAAUUACCAGAGAAAUGAGAACAAUGCAGAGGGAAGGAAUGUGGCAAUGGAAACAAUGAAUUCAAAGGCAGAUUUUCUAGAGGAGGCCCUUGUCAUUGCGCCAUUACGGGCCACAAUAUGAGAGAGGAAAUAAAAGCUAUUUGCUAGCCAGAAUCAGCAGUUGUUACUCGAAGACAGGCCAUGAUUAAAGGGAAUAACAAAUUAACCGAAGAACAGAUCAGAUAGUUCAAAGAUAUCCUGGAAAGAGUCGGAGGUAUGAUAGGACUCUCUUUCGGGGCUAGAGAGGAAGAUGUUUUUGAAUUUCUUCAGUUUCUUCAAAAGAAAGGAGCUCAGUGACAGUAGAAAACUCAGCCAAGAUGAGGAAGUCGCAGAAAGGGUGGAGAGAGCUUCUCAGUCUUGAAUGUUCAAUCAGUUACGAUUACAUAGACAAAUCAAGUGAAAGGAGAAGGCCAACGAGGGGAAGAACAGGUGAUCAAUGAUUUUAUUUUUAUUUUUAUUUUUUUUCCUUAGAACAUUAGAGGCCUGGGCUGCGAAGUUAAAAGAGCCCACAUAAAGAAAAUGUGUUGGAAAUCGAAAGCCGAUGUUAUCACGCUGCAGGAAACCAAGCUCCAGUCCAUAGACAGAUGUACGAUGGAUUUGAUUUGGGGUGUUAAGAACAAAGAUUGGGAAGCUGUCAACGCUGUGUGCUCUGCAGGAGGUAUUAUCAUGGCCUGGAAUUCCAAUUUUCGGAAGAAAGAAGACAGCUUCUCUGGUAUGUAUUCACUCUCGGUUGUUCUUUGGGACCUUUCCUCGGGCUUCUGUGGGUUUUUACUUCUGUUUACUGCCCUUGUAUUUCAAAUCAGAGAGAGCAGUUUUUGGUUUGAACCGAAUUCAAUUAGAUAGAAAUGGUCUUUGCAAUGGUGUGUCAGAGGUGAUUUCAAUGUCAAUUGGUUUUUCAUUUGAGAAAUUUAACAGGGGCAGAGUUACUCAUAGUAUGAAAGAUUUCUCCGAUUGGAUAUUGUUGCAUGAGUUAGUUGAUCUCCUAUUGGAAGGGGCUAAAUCUACUAGACUAAUAAUCAGGCUGGUGUGAUUCCAUUGCAUCUUGAUAGAUUUUUGGUUUCCAUGGAUUGUCUGCGUGGUCUUCAUCUUUAUCUAUUUCAGAAAGUACAUGGACAUAAUCGAGCUGCGACUUUAUUCACCUCACUUUAUUGGUCAUUUCAGUGAGCUUCACGCAGGUGGGCACAUAGCUGAGGCUCAAGCACUGACUUUAAAUUGGAUUGAUUAUGUUAUGUCAAGUAGGAAUAAGUGAUACAUGAAAGGAGGAUGUGCAUGAUAUCGUCGAGCCUUCAGAUUGUCUUUGUGGGGACCUUGGAUUGGUGAUCCUGCCAGUGAAUCUCGUGGGACCCACUGUGAUGGAGAAUUCCACAAAACACCGCAUGAUGAAACGCUCCCAUCUGUCCAUUGGGGUCUGCAAAUGUGGCUAGGAAGAAAAACACAGCAACAGUCCACAUUCAAUGGGAAAAGGCCAAAGAUUGGAUGGGUACAAGGGAAUCCUAUAUCCAAAUUGGGGUCCAUUGAUCUAUGUUUUGGUCCACUGAGCUGUGGGCCCCACUGAUACAAACUUGAGGCGUAAUGAUCAUGUAAUUCCACAUUGUCGAAAAUCCCUAAACAAAUAAAGUUUGUUGGGAAAUGUACAGAAGCUCAUUAUGAAGCUGUUGAGCAUGAGAGGUGGAGUCUAUUCGAACUCCUAUUGCUGUCCAUAGCACUGAACCAACAGAAAUUUCAGAAACUGUUGCACCAACCCUUGACAUCCUUUCGAAGUUGAUGUGAAGUUAUUGAAAGGUCGCUCCUCUCAGCUCCUUGUUCAUCUCAGCCAUUCAUCUACCAAUAGUUUUUCUUUUGUUCGACCAUUGCUGACGAGGAGCAUUAGUUCUUGCAGAUUUCGACUGCUUCCCUUUAGCAGAACAUUCUGGUUAUUUGCCUGAGUUCCUCAAUAGCGAGAAUGCCAAUGAUAAGAAAGCCAAGCACAAAGCCAUUAACUUGAAUGAUCAGAGGAGGUGAUACUGUCCCUGAGAUCUGCAUUGUAUAUCCAAUUUCUGGAAGUAACAUUUCAAUGGCCUCAUGAAGUGAAACGGAUGGAUUCAAGUUGUUGAGGAUGCUUGAAGCCUAUUGGUGGCACAGUGGCGUACUUGAUGAUGGAUGGUGGCACUUGUAGGAUGCUUAAAGCUAGACAGUGGCAUAUCUUACAUGUUUGCACACUUGGGGUGCUUGAAGAUGGAUGGUGGCACAUAUGUGAAUGUGGAGCAUUUGAAGAUGGGCAGCGGCUCGUGGUGCAUGUGGGACAUGGGCACAUGGCAAAUUGGGACAUGAGAUACAUGUGGGGUUCUUGGAGAUGGAUGGUGACAAGUGGCACGCAUAUGACAUUGGCACAGUGGCAGAUUGGCAUGUGGCACAUUGGAAAUCCUCUUUCCCAUGGGCGUGGCAAUCGGGGUCUCCUUAAGGGGUGAGGAAUGAAUGAUAUUAUGAUAAUGACAUUGUAACGCGACUAGAGCAUGUCUUUUAAGUUUCCUUGGGGCCUAUUUGGAUUCUGUGAAACAGGAUGUGAGGAAAUGAUGUUUCCAAGGAAAUGAAAAUGCCCAACAGGCAUUAGCUCUCGCUGAAAAGGAGGUGAUCCAACUACACCUUCCAACACGUAUGUUAUUACAACUUCGCUCCAGUCUCUAGCCCUGCCUUCAACAUCUCCCCCCUUGAAAGAAAUGAUGUUUUUGAGGAAAUGUUAAGCAGUGCCAAACGAAAAUGCCAACAAGUAUUAGCUCUCUGAAAAGGAGGCAAUCCAGCUGCACUUUCUAAUAUGGCCUUGUUACAACUUCACUUGGCUCACUAGCCCUACCUUCAACAUCUCGCUCCUUGCUAUUAAGGUAAUAACUUCGGACAUGGUCAACUCCCAUAGUGUGAUGGGCAGUGUGUACAAGGCCCAGUAACAAAUUCACCGCUGUAUAGCUGAUCGGUGAUGACUAACGAUUCUAAUUUCAGGUAAGCAAGUUGCAGCCAAUAAUCCGAACUGAGGACAUGUUUUUAAAAUUAGCUCACCCUCGCGGGAUUGCGACUCUUUGUACCAGCCAUUGUAAGCAUGUG